CGACCGGCGCACGGGUGAGUAUCGCGUAUCCAACCUGCCCUUUACUUGGGGAUACCCCGUUGAAAGACGGCCUAAUACCCGAUGUAAUUCAUUGAUGGCAUCAGAUAUGAAUAAAAGAUUUAUCGGUAAAGGAUGGGGAUGCGUCUGAUUAGCUUGUUGGUGAGGUAACGGCUCACCAAGGCGACGAUCAGUAGGGGUUCUGAGAGGAAGGUCCCCCACAUUGGAACUGAGACACGGUCCAA
rnacentral:rRNA from 1 species